rnacentral:ncRNA from 1 species
CCUGGGGAGUACGAUCGCAAGAUUAAAACUCAAAGGAAUUGACGGGGACCCGCACAACCGGUGGAGCGUGUGGUUCAAUUCGAUACAAAGCGAAAGACCUCACCAGGUUUUGACAUCCCGCCGUUUAUCUUGAUGGAAACAUUGAGAAAUCCGCAAGGAAGGCGGGACAGCAGCUGCAUGGCUGUCGUCAGCUCGUGCCGUGGGGUGUUCCCUUAAGUGGGAGAACGAGCGCAACCCGUGUCCAAUGUUAUAUGUUUCAUUGGAGACCGCCCGCUCUCAAAGUCGAGGACUUUGAGAUAACGAUUAACGAGAACAACGAAAACGACAAAGUAACACAUAAUGAAUUCAUUAUUGUUAUUUUCGUUGAUUUGUUGUUUUGUUAUUUUCGUUCUCUCAAAAGCGUCGUCGCUUUUGAGAGCGGGAGGAAGGAACGGACGACGUCAAGUCAGCACGGCGCUUAUAACCUGGGUAACACACACCCUACAAUGGCGAAUAACAAUGGGAUGCAAGGUAGCAAUGCCAAGCAAAUCCCCACUAAAUUUCGCCUCAGUUCAGAUUGAGGGCUGCAACCCGCCCUCAUGAAGUCGGAAUCGGUAGUAAUCGCAGAUCAGCAGGCUGCGGUGAAUACGUUCUCGGGUCUUGUACACACCGCCCGUCAAGCCAACAAAGUUGGAGGCGGCCGAAGAGCCACAUUUGUGGAGCUAAGCCGAAUUCAGCGAUGGGGACUAAGUCGUAACAAGGUAUCCCUAGCCGAAGCUGGGGAUGGAUCACCUCCUUU